rnacentral:rRNA from 1 species
UACGGGGGGGGCAAGCGUUGUUCGGAAUUACUGGGCGUAAAGGGCUCGUAGGCGGCCAACUAAGUCGGACGUGAAAUCCCUCGGCUUAACCGGGGAACUGCGUCCGAUACUGGAUGGCUUGAGUUCGGGAGAGGGAUGCGGAAUUCCAGGUGUAGCGGUGAAAUGCGUAGAUAUCAGGAGGAACACCGGUGGCGAAAGCGGCGCACUGGACCACAACUGACGCUGAGGCGCGAAAGCUAGGGGAGCAAACAGG